rfam:Schistosoma curassoni strain Dakar, Senegal genome assembly, scaffold: SCTD_scaffold0012457
AGCCUUCCGAAUCGGUGCAGAAAUUUCUUCAGACACCAACCCAUCAGGGCUGAUCAGACUUCCAAGGUAUGUGAAGUU